rnacentral:misc_RNA from 1 species
AACGGUCUAUACCUGCGGUACCUGCGGAGGGAUCAUUAUUGAAUAAAAUUUGAGUUAGGUUGCUGCUGGCUUCUUUGAAGCAAUGGUGCACACCAACUUUCUUUUUAAAUUUUCCCCUGUGCACCCCCUGCAUGGAUCUGAAUGGGUCUUGAGGAAACUCAGUUUUGAGAACUGUUGUGCAAAGUAGGCCAACUCUUCUUAGCUUCAGAUUUAUGUUUUUAUUUAUUAACACACAUAUAU